CAAACAGUGACCUCCUGGUUCAUGGGUCCAUGCUCCACUGCUGAGCCACCCAGCUGGGUCACUUCUUGUUUCAGCGGCAGCAGGCUUGUUACAUUGUCUCCCAGGGUUUGUGUGAAUUGAAGAUAUUAUUUUGCAAGGUCCCUUGUGGAAAGAGUACACUGAUGUUCCAGGAAGAUGCCCACAACUUUCUAAAUCUGACACUUUCUCUGAAAACCUGGUCUAUUUGAGCGUGGAUGUCCAGUCCAGACGACACCAGAAGAGGCUAAAAAGUCAUCCUAGCUCAGGUGUUGGGAAGGGACUGGAAGGAUGGAGGGAUGGGCACUGGCCUGGGGGACUCUAACCAGGGCCGGAGCCAUUUCCAUCUUCACAGGAAGAGGCUCCUGUGAAGGCACUCAUUCCCCCCUCCCCCCGCCCCCCAAAACCCAGGCCUCUCUGAUUUCUGGGACACAGGGGGGCAGAGUCCUGUCCUCUCAGCCUCACGCUGGAGAAGGCGCCCCAGGGAGAACCGCAGGGCCCACCUGUGGCCUGCCCUUCGGAGCAUGCCACCCGGACCAGCUCCCCAACCCACCCUCCUGGGAGAGCCCAGCCUGGGAAGUCAGGCCCAACCCCUGGCCUUUGGGGGACCUAUUUUGGGGAGGAGCAGAGUUGGGAGGGGAGUUUGAGAUCAGGCUGUAGACUGUGAAUAUCCCUUUAACAGCUCGCCCUCACGCAGCCUGCUUUAUUGCUUUCGACAAUGCCUCACCUUUCAAUGCCCCUUUCUGAAACUAGGCUCAAGGGUGAUAUUCCACAAACAAGCAUGCAAAGUGCAUGUUCUGGGAAACGUGUCCUUGUUGAGAACAGCAAGUAAAAUACACGAAGGGAGUUAGUUCCAAGGACCUCGAUGGCCAGCCGGGGCUCGGAGCCCUGUUUCUGUGGUCCUUUUUGUUGCAGGAUGGAACCUGCCACCUUGACCGGGAAUCGAACCCACGACCCUUCGGUGUGCGGGCCGGCGCUCUAACCACUGAGCGCACUGGCCAGGGCCUGUGUGGACUCAACCCUGAUGGUGGAUGGAUCCUCUCAGCGGGUGCGCCAACCUGCAUUCCCACUGCCAUGUUCCCAUUGCCCUCGGAGGCAUGGAGCAGAGUCUCCCCGGGAGCCAGCCACUGCGCGGAACCCCCCUCGCUGACACCUCGCUUUCAGACUCCUGGCCUGCAGAAGCUUGAAAACAUACAUUUCUGAUGUUCCGAGGCACCGGUUUGUGAUCAUUUGCUCCAGCAGCCCCGGCGAACCGCAAACCUCAUUUCUGGUGCUGGGAACCCCAAGGCCCUUGAUGCCCGGAUGCCAGGCCACCCAUGUGCUCCUCUGCCCACGGGCCCUGAGGCUCUCUGUGGCCUUGGGAAAGGAGGGACAGGGCAGAAUGCUGUCCGAAGCCCACACUCCGUGCUCUCUGGGCAGCCACCCACCCAGAGGUCAGCGGCUGAGCUCUUCCUUUAAGAUUCAAUUUAGGCGCUGUGCUUGGGAUGCCUCCCUUGGCCCUCUUUCCUCUCCUUCCCUGUCCUAAUGAGCACGGAGCAGGUGCUCAACACACGUCUAUUAGAUCAACUGAAUGGGAAGGCAACGUGUGACAAGUGCUAGAAGACAGUUACAAACUACGAGAAACAGUGAAACGAGGCAAGACGGGGCGAAGGCAAGUCUAAAGGCCUCCGGUUCGCCAAGGCGGCGCUAGGAUCCUGCCUGCAGAUGCAUUAAUCUGUGCUCAGAGGGUUCCACGUGGCUGCGACCAGCUCUCGGGCGCCGCCUGCCGCGAUCGUGCCGCCGCUUCAGCUCUUUCUGGCGCCCCGCCCCUCCCCGGCCCUGAGCCCGCCUCGCACCUCCCAUUGGCUGGCUCCUGUUCUCCCGCCCCUCCUCGGCUCAGCCAUUCGGAGCCCGGGGGUGGGUGGGGCUUGAGGCCAGGGGUGGAGCGAGCGCCCCGAUUGGCUCCGAGGAAAGCGGCGACGUGGCGGAGGAGGCCGGUUUGGGCCU